CCCUAAAUAACAAUCUCACAUUCAGAACCUCUCUCCUCUCCUCUCCUCUCCUCUGGUGAGAUGAGCUCCGGCGUGGUUCCGACUCGUGUCGAUGUUGCUCUGGCGUGGUUCCUGGUCGUCUCGGUGGUUCGCUCCUGCUUUUGAUUGAGGAAUAGGGUUCCGAAGGCCAUGGCUUCACACUUAGGCCUCCGCCAUUGUCGUCUUCUUCAUCUUCUCUUUCUUCUUCGUUAAAAGGAAGGUGGAAGGAGCUGUUGGGCUUCAAGAGAGACCACGUUGGAUCCAAGAAAGCUCAUAAGAUCAGUGAGGAGAGAUUUGUUCACUCGGAUAACAAACAAUCUCAGGAAGGAGAGUUCUCAACUUGGAACGAAACGGAUAGUGGCAUGCAGUGAACCCGGAUUUUGUCCUAGGAUGAUGUUUAGUUCACUGAUUUUAAGUUAGAUUUUGUUAAUCUUAGAUCUAAAAAAAAGAUUGUUAGAAUCUUGUUAAUGGCAGUGGCCGAGAUGAUUUUUCCAUUGACUCUUUCCACUUUUCAUGUUUUUGUCGAAUCUGGUCAGGUAUUUUACUUUCUAAGAAAAUAUAUAUAUAUAAUGGUGAAAUCAUUAUCUGGGUAUUGUUCGAA